UACGAGAGGCGCAAACGUUAUUCGGAAUUACUGGGCUUAAAGAGUUCGUAGGCGGCGCGGAAAGUAGGGUGUGAAAGCCCUCGGCUCAACCGAGGAAUUGCGCCCUAAACUGCCGUGCUUGAGGAACCUAGAGGUGAGCAGAACAGAUGGUGGAGCGGUGAAAUGCGUUGAUAUCAUCUGGAAUACCGGAGGCGAAGGCGGCUCACUGGGGGUUUUCUGACGCUGAGGAACGAAAGCCAGGGUAGCGAACGGG
rnacentral:rRNA from 1 species